UCAACAUCAUAAACCACCACUCUGCCAGUGUAGUUGGAUCUUGGUGCACCAGCAACAAAAUAGAUGGAGCUCAUAGUUGAGAGAACAGCAACAGAAUAACCUGGGGUAGAAGCCAACAUUUAACAUGUGUGAGAGACCAUUAAUUACAAUUCAUCAGUUGGUUAUCCAUAAAGGGCAGAAGAUGAGUCAGUCUGUUGGAGCCAUCAUGUGAUUCACCGUCUGUCACAACAACCAUUACUUUUGUGGCUGCUGGACGUCCUCCCGCUUCAGGAUUCUGCCUGCCACUGGGAACCUACUCAGAGGCCCUGAGCAAAUUGUCUCCUGGUGGGAAUGAAAUUCAGGAUGUUCUCCUUGCUGUUUAAGGUCUCACACAGGCAACACUUCAGAUCAGAAGGCUUUGCCAGAAUGAGGACUCAGAAGAAGUGUAUGCAGGUUUGCAGCCUGGACUGGUGCAAUGCCUCUGAAUACAGAGGAGCAAGACCAUAUUCAUA